CACAAGCGGUGGAGCAUGUGGUUUAAUUCGAUGAUACGCGAGGAACCUUACCUGGGCUCAAAUGUAUGUUGACGUAUUCUGAAAGGGAUACUUCUUCGGACAAUAUACAAGGUGCUGCAUGGUUGUCGUCAGCUCGUGCCGUGAGGUGUCGGGUUAAGUCCCAUAACGAGCGCAACCCUACCUUUAGUUGCCAUCAGGUAAUGCUGGGGACUCUAAAGGAACUGCCUACGCAAGUAGUGAGGAAGGCGGGGAUGACGUCAAAUCAGCACGGCCCUUACGUCCAGGGCUACACACGUGCUACAAUGGCCGAUACAGAGGGCAGCUACCUGGUGACAGGAUGCAAAUCUCCAAAGUCGGUCUCAGUUCGGAUCGGAGUCUGCAACCCGACUCCGUGAAGUUGGAUUCGCUAGUAAUCGCGCAUCAGCCAUGGCGCGGUGAAUACGUUCCCGGGCCUU
rnacentral:rRNA from 1 species